UUACACCGCACGACUAUAAAAGCCGGAAACCCUAAGAAAACCAAGCCUCAGUGUCGCAGCCGCGAGAGCAAAGCUUUGCUCAUCAUCUCCAUCUUCUCUGUAGCUCUGUUCAGGUAUUCCGCUUUCUCUUUCCUCUUUUUCACUGCCACAAAGCGAUUCAUCUUUUCGUUUUCAUCCUAAACUGAAAUGAACGCCAUAGCUGAAACUCCACAGCUGAAAUCAUGUUCGUGCUUCUUGUGUUUAUAUGUGCUUGUAAUCGGAGAUUUAUGUUAUUUGAACUAGAUGUAGCUUAGAUCUGUGACGUUUUAGUCUAAUUAAGCGUGGCGAGUCUUCUUUGUUUGUUAAUUUUAGGUUAUGUAUCUGUCCGAGAACUUUGUAUUUGAUAAUUGCUAGAUGAACUUUCGGAAUUGCAUGUUGAGAUUGUUAAGUAUUUGGUGUGUGUUUGCCGAUGAGGAGUCAAUCCGGUUGUUUGAGGUGUAGUGGAGCCGAGACCCUGUAAAGGGAGAACCCCUCGGCGAAGCUGCAUUUCACAUGACAUCACUGGAUUUAACUGAGGUUUUCGGGUUGAUAAAAUCACCGCGCUGCUUAAAUCAUUAAAUUUGAUAAUGGAUUACCACUGACAAUGUGUGUAGAAGUUGACACUUUUUCGAAAGUCACUUGUGUGUUGUGUUUUUGUUUGAAAUGGACUGCUAAAUCUACAAGUGUGUUAUAUGCUGAUAUGAUUACUUUAUAGAUAAGCCAUGGUGAAACACAAUAACGUUAUCCCUGGGGAGCACUUCAGGAAGCACUGGCAGAACUAUGUCAAGACCUGGUUUAACCAGCCAGCAAGGAAGACCANNNNNNNNNNNNNNNNNNNNAUAUAUAUAUAUAUAUAUAUAUCCCCUUUCUACUAAGGGAUUUUUUUUGGGUUUAUAUGAGGGAUAGGGUCACUAGUACGUACUCUACUAAUCUAAAUGGUAAUGACACCAUAUACUACACUAAUCACUACAACUUCGAAGUUGCAUAUACACUUACACAUAAAUCUGAAAAGAGAAGAAAGAAAAGAAGGGAACCUAUGUAGUUUCACAUACUCAACUCCACCAGAGAAGGAAAAGAAUUAUUUUAGAUCAUGGUCAGUUGCGUUGAGGAAGACAUUUGUUGAUAUAGUGGAUUAUCGAUAGGGAAAAGAAAUCUCUUAGAUCAUCAUGGUCAGUUGCGCUGAGUGAGACAUUUGUUGAUACAGUGGAUUAUUGAUAGGAUAAUCCUACGUACUAAAUGAUGUUUUGUUUGUCUUUUACAGUGAUAAGAGAGAUAGAGAUAAUAAGAGACACAUGAUUUACAGUGAUUCGUCUCCCUCUCUUUAGUUAGAUUACAUCCACUUAACAUGUAAUACAGGUUGGUGUUAACGUGAGUCCAAAUCCUAGUAUAUUGGGAAGAUGUAUAUUCUGUAAUCAACUAAGAUUAUGUAAAUCUUUCGGUGUAAUUAGUUUCCUUUUAGGGUUAGAACUGUGCUUGUAUAUAUACCCGACUUGGGGUUUGUUCAAUAUAUCAGAAAAUUUCUAACCUUUUGUGUACUGUUUGACUGUUGGGAGCUAAGUAUUACAAGUGGUAAUAAUUGAGUGUUGAUCGAGUGAGUGGGAAUGAGUCUCAUUUGAUAGGAGAAGGAGACUCUUUCUUUUACAUGUUUUCUAAUGUAGGACAAAGAGUCAUAUUCUAGUCUCCCAAAUGUGCUUGUAGAGGCAUGUUGUAAUAAAUAUACACCACCUAAUUGUGAUAAUGCUAACAGAAGCUAAAAGUUCCCAAGUAAUGGAUAUCUCAAAUCAAGCAACAUGUGAGAUAUCUAUUAUGCCAUGGUUCUAGAAAGAAGGUUUAAUCUUACAUGAACAAUAUGCUCUGAUCAAGAACAAACAGCAUGCAAAAAGCCUAUCAUAAACAAAAAUGAACAAACACAAGGCGUGAAAAGUGGUAUCGGGUUGAGUCGAUGUCAUGCUUCAAUCAAUCAGUGAAAACUCGAAUUGUUUAUUGAUCAUUCUAAGAAAAAAAGAUUAAAAUUAGAAAAGGAAUUAGAAUGAGGAGUACUGCCCCCCAUUAGAUCCAAUGCGUGUGUUAAUUUCUCAACGAAUCGAAUCGAAGAAGAGGAGACCUAAAGGCAAACACAAAAGAAGAGAAUGAAGAGUAAAAACUAAAACAUUAAUACACCAAGGGAAAAGCCAUUAUUACCCCCAAGAUACACUAACCUACAAGGCACAGAAUACGUGGUGUUGGGAUGACCGAAAACAGCAGAAUACCGCUGGAAAUGGCCCGAUAUGCGUCCGAUACGGAAGGAUACGUAGCCGUAAAUAUAUUGAAUCGCGGGGGCAAAGACUGACUUUUGCAUCCCUAUUUUGUUUUUGGAUUAAUAUAAACCGUGGGCUCAUAUACAUGAAUCGAAGCCUGUCCCAAUCUUCCUACAAAAUCAAGCCCAGCCCAACAAGAAAUAAAAUCCCGGUUUUACACUGCACGAUUAUAAAAGCCGGAAACCCUAAGAAAACCAAGCCCUCAGUGUUGCAGCCGCGAGAGCAAAGCUUUGCUCAUCAUCUCCAUCUUCUCUGUAGCUCCGUUCAGGUAUUCCGCUUUCUCUCUCCUCCCCUUCGUUCUGCACAAACUCAACGAUUAAUUCACUGCUUCAACGCGAUUCAUCUUUUCGUUUUCAUCCUAAACUGAAAUGAACGCCAUAGCUGAAACUCCAUAGCUGAAAUCAUGUUCUUGCUUCUUGUGUUUUCUGUAGCUCGUAAUCGGAGAUUUAUGUUAUUUGAACUAGAUGUAGCUUAGAUCUGUGACGUUUUAGUCUAAUCAAGCGUGGCGAUUCUUCUUUGUUUGUGAAUUUUAGGUUAUGUAUCUGUUCGAGAACUUUGUAUUUGAUAAUUGCUCGAUGAAGUUUCGGAAUUGCAUGUGGAGAUUGUUAAGUGUUUGGUGUGUGUUUGCCGAUGAGGAUUCAAUCCGGUUGUUUGAGGUGUAGUGGAGCCGAGACCCUGUGAAGGGAGAACCCCUCGGCGAAGCUGCAUUUCACAUGACAUCAUUGGAUUUAACUGAGGUUUUCGGGUUGAUAAAAUCACCGCGCUGCUUAAAUCAUUAAAUUUGAUAAUGGAUUACCACUGACAAUGUGUGUAGAAGUUGACACUUUUUCGAAAGUCACUUGUGUGUUGUGUUUUUGUUUGAAAUGGACUGCUAAAUCUACAAGUGUGUUAUAUGCUGAUUUGAUUACUUUAUAGAUAAGCCAUGGUGAAACACAAUAACGUUAUCCCUGGGGAGCNNNNNNNNNNNNNNNNNNNNCUUGAAGACAUACAAGCAGAAGUUGGUUGUCUUCCCAAGGCGUGCUGGCAAGUUUUAAGGUAAUCUCAAAUGGUUGAAGUGGAGUACUUGUAUUAUGAUUGUUUGUGAAGUGCAUAAUAUCUUGACUCCAUUUACACUUUGUUUCAGGCUGGUGAUUCUGCAGCAGAGGAGCUAGCAAAUGCAACCCAACUCCAGGGUCCUCUCUUGGCAAUUCAACAGGAGAAACCAGUCACUGAGCUCGUGAAGGUCACCGCAGAUAUGAAGAAAGUCAAUGCAUAUGACAAGCUUCGUAUUGAGCGGGUCAAUGUCCGUCAUGUUGGAGCCAGGGCUAAGAGGGCAGCUGAGGCUGAGAAGGAAGAAAAGAAGUAGAAUGCUUGUUUGCCUCAUGUUCAAUCAUUUGCAAGGAUUUCUUAUGUCUUGCCAGAUUUUGCAAAAUAGCUUUGAACUAUUUUCUGAGACAUCUUAUGGAUUGACAAUAUUAGAUUUCGUAAUGUCACUCAAGUAUGCGGAGGUUAAAAAUUUAAUGGUUUUUUGUUACAUUGCUUGGUAAUGAACUACGUAGUAUCAGCCUAAUAUGAUGUGUGAUUCAAAAGCAAGUGCAUCUCCUUUGUUUGACCCAGAUAAGGGAUUGCAAAGUCCCUGUAGAUGAAAUUUCAGAAUAAGAUCAAAUGUUUGUUCCCACCGGAAUUUACCAACUGUGGAUCUGUGAUGAUUUGAGAAUAUUCUAAACGAAGAAGUUUCACCAGUUCGAAGCAAAAAAUAUAAAGGAAUUGCGAACCAAAGGAUCAAAACAAGCACAUCAUCGAAAUGGUGAUUAUUAAUAGUAAAAUGCCCGUCUCAAGUCUUGAAAUCAUGAUCUCUACACAAAGUGAUAGCCUACUUUAAGUACAUACGACCAGAAAGCCUACAAUACUGUCAAUCCUCAGUUAAUGUAUUUCUGUUUCAAUAGCUGGACACAAGUCACAUAAGCCAGUAAACCUCAUGAAAUCAAAAGCCCUCCACGAUACUUCACUGCGUGAGUGCCUGACAAAUAUGAAAUAUCUCUGUUAGCUUACACAAAAUGCGACCUAACCACUCCAAAGAAAGAAACAUUCUGAACUGCAUUGAUGAAGAAAUGUAUUUAGACUUGUUACCUGAGAAGCCAUAACCCAAGUUCCAUCUAUCCAAACUUGGCGUGGCCUUAAAUCAGAGUGGUCAAAGACCAUUUUAUCAUCAGUACCCUCGAAGAAAACCCUGUACCUUCCCCCAUGUAGCACCUUACAUAUCUUACCUUCCCACCAUCCCUCAUUCCAGUAAGCAUCAACCAGGUCAUUCAGACCGUAACAAUCAACCAUAUAAGUUUCAGGGGGACAAGGCCUCAAGUGCUCUUCAUCAAUCUCUUCUGUCAAGAACUCUUUACCAUCAUCUGUCUUCAAGCUCUUAUACCGAACAAGAAAUUUGGCAUUCGCCACUACUUGGACAACCGUAGCUGCAAACCAUGAGCCUUGAAAUCCAUCCUCAUCGUUAGAAACCUCAACUUCUGUCCCUUUUCGAAUUUCUUCCUUCAGCUGUGCCUUCUUUUCCUGCAUUUUAAGUGUUUGCUUUUAUGCUAACAUGAGAGGAAUUUCACAAAUUACAAGAUAAAACCAAGUAUUGAAGAUGCAAAUACACUGAAUGUGCAUGCUUUACUAUUAAACAAAACAUCAAUGUAAACAGAAGUUGAGAAGUUAUGAUAUAGACAGAAGGUGAUGAAACAAAGAACAGAAGCCGUCAAGUUAAGCACAACAAACACUCGUUUUCUUGAUUCACGCGGAAAUGGAGUACAAACAAAGCUCAGAUACUCCCAGAAUCAACCUAUCCAUUCUCCUCACAGCCAACACAGGCAGCAAAACCGGCAUCGACACUCCCUCUUUGUUCUCACUCCCUCCCUCACAACCAACAACACCAGAUCAGAUCAACAUUCUCCCUAAUCAGCAUCAAAGAAAUAAGCUCUUCCAUAUAAAAACACACACACUACAUCAAAAAUUAAAAAUACAACUAGCAUUAGAAAUCACCUAACAACAAAUCCCAAAACCCACCAUAAAGUUUCAACCUUUAAACCAAAAAUCACAUCCCUAAAAACCCAAUUACCCUACAGUAAAAUUAAACCCUAAACCCAAAAUUUACUCAAUUUACCUUCUCUUCUUCUCUAAUAGGAGGAACCCAAGCCCCUUUGACCCACUCCCUAUGAAUCCUCAUCUCCUCCGCCUCAAACUCAAAUCUCUGCCUCACAACCUGAAAGAACACCUCGAAUCUCGCGUCGUCCAGCUCCUCCGUCACCACUCCCUCCCACCACCCGCCGGCCAAGAACGCGUCGACGCCGUCGCCGACCUUGAAUCCGGCGAAGCCCUCCUCCCGCGGCGGCGACGGCCUGAUGAGCGCCGCGUGGACCUCGUCGCGCACGGAGCUGUGCCCGGUGACCUUGCGGUAGAGCCUGGUCUUGACCUUGUCGUACUCGACGGUCAAUCUGGUGCCGUCGGCGGAGGCGGCGACGAUCCUGGCCGGGAAAAGCGAGCCGCGCAUGUUGUGGACUGGGCUCGUGACCUCCACGUGGGCACCUAUCUGGAAUUGGGAUGAUGAGUCAGCAGCCAUGGUUUGAAUCUGAAAGAGAGAGAGAGAGAGGUUUUAGGGUUCUUGAGUUAAACAGGGAUUGGCGGGAGACGUAACACCAAAGUGGAAAGGUUUCGUCUUCAUUUUCUGACAUUCAGCGAAAACAAAAAAUUAAGCAAAAUGGGCUUUUGGCGGGCUUCGUGAAGAUGGGUCGCGUCUAGGCGGUCUGGGCCGUGAUGGGUUGGACGGAUUGGGAGCUCCACCAUUUAAAACAUAAAAUAAAACACACAUAAACGAAUUGGGCUUUUAACGGGUUAGACAGAGACGGGUCGCGUCUAGGCGGUCUGGGCCGUGGUGGCCUAAACGGGGUGGGGACCCCACAUUUAAAAACAUAAAAAACGACGAAUAGUCUCUCGCCGUUUAUCGAUUCCCUCCAAUUCACCACAAGGGCUCUCCGAUUUAUUCAGUUUUCGAUUCACUUGGGUGAGCAGAAACUCUCUUCUCUCGAAAAUCUGCACUCUUCACAUUUCGAGUGAUCUCACUGAGCCUUAGAAGUUGGCUAUACUAGUGUCAAUCUCCUCUUGAAGCAUAUGGAGGAAACAUUGAAGUCUGCAACGGAGGGGAUGCGAUAUAUUACUACCCUCAAAGAAUUGAAGAUGACAAGGAGGCGCUUGACAGACUGUAGUAGGCUUCAGGAAGGAGGAGAAGACUUCUAUAAAAUCCAACAUGUGCCUUCACUGAUAUUGGAGAAAAUUUACGAUCGUGACAAGGAUAUUCCCACCCCAAUUACAGGUAAAUUCGAUCUCAUUGAUAUUUGAAACUGUUGAGACUUGUCUAUUUCACUUGCUAUCAUGUCAAGUUUCAGUGAAAUGUUUUUGAUCAUUUUGUUUCAAAUUUUUCAGUGCACUAAGCAGUUGAUAACAUUUGUUGUCUCCUUUUCUUUUGGUAGCUUUAGUUUAACUUUUUCUCAUCUUCUUUCAAAAGGGUUGAUUGUUCUUGACAUACUCCGAUUCGUUCAUGAUCGCAUAUAUUGCAUCAUUUCUUAGAUAAUUCAUCAACUGAUAACAGUCUAAAACCAUAGGCUGCAUCGCCUUUCAUUUGUUGGAAUU
rnacentral:lncRNA from 1 species